UUGGAUUAUGGAGUUGAAAAUCAUGAAAGCUGUCAAAGAGAUUGGAUUGCAGGCAUAAUGUUUUGUUAGCCUACAUCGUGGAUAGUUUUUAGUGUUUCGGAAAUAGAAAUGAUUGUUCAUCUUCACUUGCCAAAUGGAGCUGUGAGUUUUUGCCGGCCCUCUUCUUUGUCCUGUAUCAGUCUAUACUGGUUUAUCUAUUGAGUUCCUUAAAAUGUCAUUGUUUGGCCCGACCACGUUGUGACCAUAUUUUGCAAAAUCUUGGAUGGGUGUUGGACGGCAAUGAUGCCUGGAUAUGGUAGCUGAUGAUGGAAGUUGUGCCUUUUCUGGUUGUGAUUAUUAAGCGCAUCGUGAUUUCA
rnacentral:lncRNA from 1 species